ACGUUGUCGUAGCUUAAAUACUAAAGCAUAACACUGAAAAUGUUAAUAUGGACAGCCAGUCCCGAAUAA